GUACGUACUGGUGUUACUGGUUCCUACCUUCUGACGAACCAUCAUGUCAUACAUUUGGUGUGGCGGGGAAUCAGGACUGUUACUUUGAAAAAAUUAGAGUGUUUAAAGCAGGCUCGCGUUUGAAUACAUUAGCAUGGAAUAAUGAAAUAGGAUGUUGAUCCUAUUUCGUUGGUUUCUAGGAUUGACGUAAUGAUUAAUAGGGAUAGUUGGGGGCAUUAGUAUUCAAUUGUCAGAGGUGAAAUUCUUGGAUUUAUUGAAGACUAACUACUGCGAAAGCAUUUGCCAAGGAUGUUUUCAUUAAUCAAGAACGAAAGUUAGGGGAUCGAAGACGAUCAGAUACCGUCGUAGUCUUAACCAUAAACUAUGCCGACUAGGGAUCGGAUGAUGUUAAUUUUUUAAUGACUCAUUCGGCGCCUUACG
rnacentral:rRNA from 1 species